GUUGAAACACUAGUUCCCAUUUGAUCACUAAAGUUAAGCAAUGUCGACCCUGGCCACUACCUAGAUGGGUGACCAUUUGGGAAUACCAGAUACUGUAA